rnacentral:rRNA from 1 species
ACAGAGGUCCCGAGCGUUGUUCGGAUUCACUGGGCGUAAAGGGUGCGUAGGUGGUGAGGUAAGUCGGAUGUGAAAUCUCGGAGCUCAACUCCGAAAUGGCAUUGGAUACUACCUUGCUUGAGGGUUGGAGGGGGGACUGGAAUACUUGGUGUAGCAGUGAAAUGCGUAGAUAUCAAGUGGAACACCAGUGGCGAAGGCGAGUACCUGGACAACUCCUGAGACUGAGGCACGAAAGCUAGGGGAGCAAACAG